UGGAUUGAUGAUGGCCACUGGUGGCGUAUGUUAUGAGUCAUUUGCGAUGAAUAUGUAUCUGGAACUCUGACGUCCAA
rnacentral:snoRNA from 2 species